rnacentral:rRNA from 1 species
UACGAAUGGGGCAAGCGUUGUUCGGAAUCACUGGGCUUAAAGCGUGCGCAGGCGGCCUGUAAAGUCAGGAGUGAAAUCCCGGGGCUUAACCCCGGAAUUGCUCUUGAAACUCACAGGCUAGAAUCCGGGAGAGGUUGGGAGAAUUCCUAGUGUAGAGGUGAAAUUCGCAGAUAUUAGGAGGAAUACCAGUGGCGUAGGCGCCCAACUGGACCGGUAUUGACGCUCAGGUACGAAAGCGUGGGUAGCAAACAGG